UCGCCAUUGGAUGGGCCCGCGUCGGAUUAGCUAGUUGGUAGGGUAAUGGCCUACCAAGGCAACGAUCCGUAGCUGGUUUGAGAGAAUGACCAGCCACACUGGGACUGAGACACGGCCCAG
rnacentral:rRNA from 1 species